UACGUAGGGUGCAAGCGUUGUUCGGAAUCAUUGGGCGUAAAGCGCGUGUAGGUGGUUAAUAAAGUUGGGUGUGAAAUCCCUGGGCUCAACCGAGGAAGUGCAUCCAAAACUAAUUAGCUAGAGAGUGGUAGAGGAAGGUGGAAUUCCGUGUGUAGAGGUGAAAUUCGUAGAUAUACGGAGGAAUACCGGUGGCGAAGGCGGCCUUCUGGGCCAUUUCUGACACUGAGACGCGAAAGCGUGGGGAGCAAACAGG
rnacentral:rRNA from 1 species